AUGGGGGCCGAGGCAGCCACCCCGCCGGCCGUGCUCCUCGUGCCGUUCCCGGCGCAGGGCCACGUCACGCCCAUGCUGCGCCUGGCGCGCGCCCUCGCCGCGCACGGCGCCGCGGUCACCGUCGCCGUGCCGGACUUCAUCUACCGCCGCAUCGCGGGGACGGCGGCCGGCAGCGACGAGGACGGCGUGGCGCUUGCGUCCAUCCCCAGCGGCGUCGCGGACGUCGGCGACGGCGACCCGCCAGGGUUCGCAGACUUCGGGCACGCCAUGGAGCACCACAUGCCCGCGCACCUGGAGCGCCUGCUGGCGCGCCGCCGCGUGGCGUGCGUCGUGGUGGACGUGCUGGCGUCGUGGGCCGUCCCCGUGGCCGAGCGGUGCGGCGUGCCGGCGGCCGGGUUCUGGCCCGCGAUGCUGGCGAGCUACCGCGUCGUGGCCGCCAUCCCGGAGCUCAUGGAGGAGGGGCUCAUCUCAGAAUCUGGCACCCCUCAAUCAUCGCAGAAUCAGUCCGACGACGACGGGCUCAGCCAGGGCAAGAUGCUUCGAGCCCUCAACAUCUUGCCGGCAGAGGUAGAGCUCAAGAACGAAGAGCUGCCAUGGCUCGUGGGUGACUCGGCUACCCAGAAAUCGAGGUUCGCGUUCUGGCUCCGGGCUCUGCACCGCGCGCGGAGCUUCCGUUCCGUCCUCGUCAACUCCUUCCCCGGCGAGGCCGGCGAUCUUGCCGCCGCAGCAGACGACGGCCACCCGGCGCGGCAGGGCCCGCGGGUCUUCCCUGUGGGGCCGCUGUUGGCGGCCGGCGGGGGCGACAACAGCACGGAGCAGCGAGCGAAAGGCGACGGGCCCCCGGUGGCACCGUGCAAGCAGCAACCCAGCAGCAUGUGGCAGGCAGACUCGACGUGCAUGGGCUGGCUGGACAUGCAACGUGCGGCGUCAGUGGUGUACGUCUCGUUCGGCAGCUGGGUGGGGCCGAUCGGGCUCGAGAAGGUCCGUGAGCUCGCGCUGGGGCUGGAGGCCACCGGCCGGCCCUUCCUGUGGGCGCUCAAGAAGGACCCGUCGUGGCGCGCGGGGCUCCCCGACGGCUACGCCGAGAGGGUGGCCGCGGCCGGCCGCGGCAAGGUGGUGGGCUGGGCGCCGCAGGAGGAGGUGCUCACGCACGACGCCGUCGGCUGCUACCUCACGCACUGCGGCUGGAACUCCACCGUCGAGGCAAUACGGCACGGGGUGCGGCUGCUGUGCUGCCCCGUCUCCGGGGACCAGUUCAUCAACUGCGCGUACAUCACCCGGGUGUGGGGGAUCGGGAUCAGGCUCGGCGGCGGCAUGAGCAGGGACGAGGUGAAGGACUGCAUCGAGAGGGUCAUGGACGGCAAUGAAGGGAGGCGUCUGCAGGAGAAGAUGGACGCGCUGAGGGAGAGAGUCGUGACGGCCGAGGCGACGAGCUUGGCGCAACGGAACGUUAAGUCCUUCGUGAACGAAAUUAGGAGGGACCAUCCUCCUUUGUCGAUGCAGAUGUACAGCAUAUUGUAG
rnacentral:rRNA from 1 species